rnacentral:rRNA from 1 species
AAUCGAACCCGGAGAUAGCUGGUUCUCCUCGAAAUAGCUUUAGGGCUAGCCUCAUACGAGUCUUGCGGAGGUAGAGCACUGAAUUCCUAAGGGGGCGUCAAAGCUUACUAAGGGAUAUCAAACUCCGAAUGCCGUGUAGAUGAUGUAUGGGAGUCAGACGAUCCGAGAUAAGUUGGGUGGUCAAAAGGGAAAGAGCCCAGACCAACAGCUAAGGCCCCAAAAUGUGUGUUAAGUGGAAAAGGAUGUGGGAUUUCGAAGACAACUAGGAUGUUGGCUCAGAAGCAGCCAUACAUUCAAAGAGUGCGUAAUAGCUCACUAGUCGAGAGGUCCUGCGCCGAAAAUGUCCGGGGCUAAAACACACUGCCGAAGCUUUGGAAUUGAGAAUUCAAUUGGUAGAGGAGCAUUCUUAAAGGGACGAAGCAGUACCGUAAGGAGCUGUGGACUUUUAAGAAGAGAGAAUGCCGGAAUGAGUAGCGAGAGGAAGGUGGGAAUCCUUCCGGCCGAAUAUCUAAGGUUUCCAGAGUAAAGCUGAUCUGCUCUGGGUAAGUCGGGGCCUAAGGCGAGGUCGAAAGACGUAGUCGAUGGAUAACAGGUUGAAAUUCCUGUACUAUCCUGUAACAGAACUGUGGGGACACAGGCAGAGAGCGUGAGCCGGGAAUGGAAAGACCGGUACAAGCGAGGUAGGAGAAGAGUUGGCAAAUCCGCUCUUCAAUCUGAAGACGUGAUGUGGACUGAAAAUAAGUAGGGAAGCACGUGAGCUGACUGUCAAGAAAAGCCGCUAUUGUUUGCAGGAUACCCGUACCGUAAACCGACACAGGUGGAUGAGGAGAGAAUCCUAAGGCCGACGGGAGAAGCAUUGUUAAGGAACUCGGCAAAAUGACUCCGUAACUUCGGGAGAAGGAGUGCCAGUAAGAUGGCCGCAGAGAAUUGGCCCAAGCAACUGUUUAGCAAAAACACAGGUCUAUGCAAAACCGAAAGGUGAGGUAUAUGGGCUGACGCCUGCCCGGUGCUGGAAGGUUAAGAGGAGAGGUUAGCGCAAGCGAAGCUUUGAAUUUAAGCCCCAGUAAACGGCGGCCGUAACUAUAACGGUCCUAAGGUAGCGAAAUUCCUUGUCGGGUAAGUUCCGACCCGCACGAAAGGCGUAAUGAUUUGGGCACUGUCUCAACAAUGCACCCGGUGAAAUUGAAAUACCAGUGAAGAUGCUGGUUACCUGCGCCAGGACGGAAAGACCCCAUGGAGCUUUACUCCAGUUUGGUACUGGGAUCCGGUACUGCAUGUACAGGAUAGGUGGGAGGCUGAGAAAUGGUAACGCCAGUUGCCAUGGAGCCGCUGUUGGGAUACCACCCUUGCAGUAUUGGGUUUCUAACCAGCCGCCGUGACCCGGCGGUGGGACAAUGCCAGACGGGGAGUUUGACUGGGGCGGUCGCCUCCGAAAGGGUAUCGGAGGCGCCCAAAGGUUCCCUCAGAAUGGUUGGAAACCAUUCGAAGAGUGCAAAGGCAGAAGGG